UACGUAGGUCCCGAGCGUUGUCCGGAUUUAUUGGGCGUAAAGCGAGCGCAGGUGGUUUAUUAAGUCUGGUGUAAAAGGCAGUGGCUCAACCAUUGUAUGCAUUGGAAACUGGUAGACUUGAGUGCAGGAGAGGAGAGUGGAAUUCCAUGUGUAGCGGUGAAAUGCGUAGAGAUAUGGAGGAACACCAGUGGCGAAGGCGGCUUCCUGGUCUGCAACUGACACUGAGGCGCGAAAGCGUGGGGAGCAAACAGG
rnacentral:rRNA from 1 species